rnacentral:rRNA from 1 species
AGCGAACGCUGGCGGCAGGCCUAACACAUGCAAGUCGAACGAACCUUUCGGGGUUAGUGGCGGACGGGUGAGUAACACGUGGGAACGUGCCUUUAGGUUCGGAAUAACUCAGGGAAACUUGUGCUAAUACCGAAUGUGCCCUUCGGGGGAAAGAUUUAUCGCCUUUAGAGCGGCCCGCGUCUGAUUAGCUAGUUGGUUGAGGUAAUGGCUCACCAAGGCGACGAUCAGUAGCUGGUCUGAGAGGAUGAUCAGCCACAUUGGGACUGAGACACGGCCCAAACUCCUACGGGAGGCAGCAGUGGGGAAUCUUGCGCAAUGGGCGAAAGCCUGACGCAGCCAUGCCGCGUGAAUGAUGAAGGUCUUAGGAUUGUAAAAUUCUUUCACCGGGGACGAUAAUGACGGUACGCGGAGAAGAAGCCCCGGCUAACUUCGUG